AUGUAAAUUUUUGUGUGAAUUUUUAUUUAUUUUAAAAAUAAAUUAUUUAUAUUUAUUCUCAGUAAUUAAUUUUAUUUAUCAAAGAAAUUUGUAAAUAGUAAUUUUAUAUAGUAUUGGCUAUAAUUUGUGCCAGCAGCCGCGGUUAUACAAAUAAUACAAAUAAAAAAUUUUUAGUGAAAGUUAAAUUUUUUAUAUUAAAAAUAAUUAUAAUUUUAUUAAGUGAAAUUUUAAAAUUAUUUAAUUUUAAAAUUAUUUAAUUGAAGCUUAUAAAUUUAAUUAAUAAACUAGGAUUAGAUACCCUAUUAUUUUAAAUUUAAAUGUUAACAUUAAGGUAGUAAUAGUUAUGUUCUUGAAACUUAAAAAAUUUGGCGGUAUUUUAGUCUAUUCAGAGGAACCUGUCCUAUAAUCGAUAAUCCACGAUGUACCUAACUUAAUUUUGUUUUUCAGUUUAUAUACCGUCGUUAUUAGAAUAUUUUAUUAGAAUAAUAAUUUUCAAUUAUUUUUAUUAUAAUUUAUAUCAGAUCAAGGUGUAGCUUAUAUUUAAGUAGAGAUGGGUUACAAUAAAAUUAUUUAUAUGAAUAUAAAUAUUAAAUAUGUUUUUUAAAAGUGGAUUUGAUAGUAAAAUUUUAAAGAUUAAAAAUUUGAUUUUAGCUCUAAAAUAUGUACACAUCGCCCGUCGCUCUUAUUAUUAAAAUAAGAUAAGUCGUAACAUAGUAGAUGUA
rnacentral:rRNA from 1 species